rnacentral:rRNA from 1 species
ACGAACGCUGGCGGCGUGCCUAAUACAUGCAAGUAGAACGCUGAAGAGAGGAGCUUGCUCUUCUUGGAUGAGUUGCGAACGGGUGAGUAACGCGUAGGUAACCUGCCUUGUAGCGGGGGAUAACUAUUGGAAACGAUAGCUAAUACCGCAUAACAAUGGAUGACACAUGUCAUUUAUUUGAAAGGGGCAAUUGCUCCACUACAAGAUGGACCUGCGUUGUAUUAGCUAGUAGGUGAGGUAAUGGCUCACCUAGGCGACGAUACAUAGCCGACCUGAGAGGGUGAUCGGCCACACUGGGACUGAGACACGGCCCAGACUCCUACGGGAGGCAGCAGUAGGGAAUCUUCGGCAAUGGGGGCAACCCUGACCGAGCAACGCCGCGUGAGUGAAGAAGGUUGUCGGAUCGUAAAGCUCUGUUGUAAGUCAAGAACGGGUGUGAGAGUGGAAAGUUCACACUGUGACGGUAGCUUACCAGAAAGGGACGGCUAACUACGUG